rnacentral:rRNA from 1 species
GACGAACGCUGGCGGCGUGCUUAACACAUGCAAGUCGAACGGUAAGGCCCUUCGGGGUACACGAGUGGCGAACGGGUGAGUAACACGUGGGUGAUCUGCCCUGCACUUCGGGAUAAGCCUGGGAAACUGGGUCUAAUACCGGAUAGGACUCCGGACUGCAUGGUCUGGGGUGGAAAGCUUUUGCGGUGUGGGAUGGGCCCGCGGCCUAUCAGCUGGUUGGUGGGGUGAUGGCCUACCAAGGCGACGACGGGUAGCCGGCCUGCGAGGGUGACCGGCCACACUGGGACUGAGAUACGGCCCAGACUCCGACGGGAGGCAGCAGUGGGGAAUAUUGCACAAUGGGCGCAAGCCUGAUGCAGCGACGCCGCGUGAGGGAUGACGGCCUUCGGGUUGUAAACCUCUUUCAGCAUCGACGAAGCGAAAGUGACGGUAGGUGCAGAAGAAGGACCGGCCAACUACGUGCCAGCCGCCGCCGUAA